rnacentral:sRNA from 1 species
GGUGAAAAUCAGCAAGAAUGGAUGAUUGAUUGGAUGUGGAGGCUGAGAAGAUGAAUGACUCUCUGAUGCCUUGGGAAAGUGAGUUGCCCUGGAAGAAGGUGUAGUUGUGCCUCUACAGAGGGAAAGUGGAGAGGCAAAGGUGAAGCAAUGGAGAAUCUUCCCCCAUAGCACGUGGAAGGUAAGCAUCAAAGCAGAGCCGUAUAGCUACAGGCUGAGUCUAACAGUUCUUUGGGUGCCUCACUAGGUCUCAGCUUACUCAGAUCAUUGGGCAAAAACACCAAGACAGAAGAACUGAGCUUCAAUCCCGGAUCCUACAUGGUGGAAGAAGAGAACCA